GCGUGAGGCGGUGGGAGCGGGCGGUGGGAGCCGGGCCGCCUGGCAGGGGGACGCGAGCGGCGCUUCGGCAAGGGGCUUAAGGCUUUUGCUGUGUCGGUGCGGAGGGAGUGGCUGGGCUGAAUCCUGGGCUGGUCUCCGCUUCUUUGAGGCGGUUGUAGGACCUGGCCGGCUGCGCGGGGUGGUGGGAUCGCGGCCCUGUGGGGAUGAGGCGGGGCCCCGCCUGCCCCCCCCCAGCCCUGCCCGCACCUCGGGCUGGGUGAAGGCGCUAGUAUAGCGCGCUAGUAAGUGCUCAGAGUUUGUGUCUUGUGGUGGGGUCAACUUAAUAGAACUUGGUUUCUGAAGUGGUGACUUUCUCCUUAAAGGAGCGUAGAGUAGCUUUGAGGUGUGAGUCCCAGCCCCACUGCUUUGUGCUCGGUGUGAGAUCUUGACUUAAUCUGGUAAGGAGGACCUGCAGGGGGUCCUAAAACUGUCUUUGGCACCGAUGGAAGUAGUUAUUAAGUGUUGGUCCGUGUUGACCGUGGUUCUGAGCUCUUAGUGGUGAGGGCAUGACAGAUGAGAUGCAAUCAGGAGGCUGGGGAGCUAGUGGGACAAUGGCUUACACAGCGAAAUCCAAGCAAGUGUGGAAAUGUAUUGUUGAGUUUAGCAAAAGAAGCAGGGGAAUCACUGAUGUUGAUGAUAACUUGGAUAGUUCUUAUAGCCAGAGUACAGAAAAUAGCAAGUUCACCAUGAUGUUGACUCACCAGAACAUUGAAAGAUACAAAAGGUAUUUUUUGGUUUUAUAGUUUGCGAGUUUUCUGCUGAUUUUUGUCAGGGCAUACAGUUGAUUCCAGUGCGUCAAGCCUCAUCUCUUCACAUAAAGUGUGACGUAAGCCUUUGUCACAAGGAAAAUUCUCUCUUCCCUGAGCAGAGGCAUAAAUCGUUUGCUUAGUGAAUCAUGUAACUACAGACUAUGUCAAUGGCUGUAUAGUAAGUUAAUAUAGUUGUAGUACAGAUUAGUUUUAGAGUUGGUUGGUUUGUUUUAAAUGUAAAUGUGAAAUGAGAAAUAAGGAGUUAGUACAUUUACUAAGCCAUUCUUCAGGUUGCUGGUGAUGUUCUCCCUGCCUUAACAGAAAGAUGUAAAGGCUACAGAAUUAAGGAUGUGACAGGCUGGCUUUUAGAGCAGGAGCAGUUUUCCUGGCUCUCCCUUUCCCCCGUACUGUUGCUGGGUGCACUGGGAUGCUGUUGUUUUGCAGACCUGCUGUCUCCUCACCCUCCGAAGGCUUGAUUCCAGUAGAUGUCCUGUGGGUCUGCAAAGAUAAACCAAUUUUUUUUUAUCCUGGGAAAAUGGAGAGUAGAAAUCAGCUCUGCAGUGAGCAUGAACUUCUGACUCACACCUAAUUUGAUCUAAUCUAAAGUUUAUUGGGCUUAGGAAAAUCCUACUGGACUUCUUUUGGCUUUACUUCAGGAUGAUGGUUUGGGAAGUGAAAUUAUGUUGCAUCCAUGAGCACUUCAUAUCUUUUCAGUUUUCAUUCAUUUUCAUUGAAUCCUUUGUUUAUCAACAUGGAGUGAUAUGUUCCUAAACCAGUAAACCAUUUAUCUUCAUUGAAAUUAUUCUUUUGGAUUUGAAAUGUAAGACAUUUCAGGAAAUUUCUUUUAAAAUGGCAUUGUUGCUGAGUAAAAACAUUUCCCAAGGAAAAAAAAUUGUCUGAAAACAUUGCAAGAUUUUAAUUAAAAUUGAAUCAAUUUAAUUUUUCUAGACAACUAGAAAAUACAAUCUGCAAAAUUCAAUGAAAAAUUCAGUUUAAUUCUUUUUGUUAUUUAAUUCCAGAGGAUGCUUCGAGUUGUCAGACAGGAGAUGAACAUAUUUUUCCCCAUGAGGAGACUGCUUGCUAGGCAAUGUCAGUGACCACAAACAGCAGUCGCAAAGGAGGCUCGGAGAAUAUGGAAGCUCCUGGUACAGAUGUAUUCUUUUCUCAGGGAGGGAAAGCAGAGCAUAUAGGAGCAGACCUAUAGGAUAGGAAGUGUGUGUUCAGGGAUCUGAUUUCAAGUAGGAAACAGAAGCUCAUUGAUAUGAGUGCACUGGAGAUAAAACAGGGUGGGAAAAUACAUGCAUUCCUCAGUGUAGCUUUGUUCCCGCUUUAACUCCAGGUGCGAGAAGUUUGCUUUUUGCUUGAUUUUUGCAGUCAGUGACUGCCCACAGCCCAGACAAUUCCUGCUGCUGCUGGACAGCCCAGCCCUCUUGUCAGCAUCGUGAGAAGGAUGUGACCGGAACGGAUUUACCAUAGAGGAGACAAUAUGUGUGGGGAAAACCAGCAGCAGCUCAGCUGCGGUUCUCAUUUUGUUGGUGGGGAACUGCGACGAUGAACCUUGUGUGGAUAAUAUGGCUGAAGGUACUUUGCAUGGAAAAUCCUGAGCAGAGCCUGCAUGAAGCAUGUACCCACUGUAACUGUGUGAGCUGCCUGUAAAAUGAACUUCUGAAUGUCAUUUCAAAUACUGCCUGCAUUAUGACUCCAGAGAAAUUCAUACCUAUUGCUGUUCACGGCUCACAAGGUGGCUUUUGCUCAAAAGCAUUUUGAAAGUCUUUGUGGGCUGCAGCUGCAUAGUCCAGCCAGGAGAACAUGCCAUCUCCUGGGUCAUGAUGUGCUGGGAAAACUGUGUGGGAGACAAAGAGAUUACAGAUGUAAUCACAGGUGGCCAGAUCAAAAAACAGAGUGAGAGAAGCAUUUAGUCCACUCUUCUAAAAGGAUAAAAUGUUUCUCUGCAGCCAUGGAAAUGAAAACCAGGAUCAGAUUAAUACCUGAACACUAGCAUCCUAAGCUACAAUGCAUAAAGAAAUCAAUGUUUCAUUGCACCUCUGUAAAAUGAGACAGGGAGAUGAGUGAUCAGCACUGACCUCUUGGUUCCUCAGUGGGGCAGAAACCAAAGAUCCAUCAAAUGAAAGUUAGAGCUUUAAUUUUCCAGCAGUGGAAACCAGCAUUUUUGGCAUCUCAGUGGAAUUUUGAGUUUGUCAUUGUACCCCAAACAGGUAAAAGGAGUUUCCUAGAAGAAAUGUAAAAAUUAUCCACAUUUCUGUAUCUCUCACAAACCCCAGAAAUUCCAGAUUCUAAGGUUUAGGAAAAAAGUUGCAUAAAGCUGAGAUAUUUCCCUCAGUUUUAUCUUAUAAUAUUUUUCAUUUUUAUAUAUUUUAACAUUUUAUACUAUUUUACAGGAGGUAAAACUGAAUAACAUCAAUUUACAAAGGAAUUCAUACUUCCAGAUAAUAAAAUAGAAGUGGAUGUUUGUAUCUCCACAUUCUGGGAUUAAUAGUUAAGCUUAUUUCCUGAUUACUCCCUGUAGAAGUGAGUAGAAAUUUUUCACAAAAUAAUUUUUAUGAAUAUAUUGCUUUGGAUUAUAUUGAAAUAUUUCCUUUAAAUUUUAUUUUGAUGAAAAGUAUAUUGAAGGUAUUGUAAAAUUUAAUGUAAAUUUUAAAAAUAUUUUUUGCAUUGUAUUACAUUAAUUUUCAUUUUUGUAUAAUUUUUACUUUUGCUUUAUUCAGGUAUAGUAAUGGCAAUGUAUAUUAUGCAAUAGGCAUGUGUCCAGCUGUUUCAUUAUCAAACACAAGGUCUUUUGGGUUAGGAAGGAAAUAAAAGAUGUUUCAGUGGAAACUAUACAUGAGCUUAAUGAUAAUAUCUUAAGGAUUCUGAAAAUGUAAAGUAACUCCUCUGCUUUUAACAAGGCAUAAUAAAAUAAUAUAAAAUAAAAUACCAAAUAUAACAUCACAAAAUACUAUCUUGAAACCCUCUAAAGGACAGCUUUCUAGCAUGAAAGCGAUUGAUUCUGAAAUACUGAUUUUGUGGCUUUUUUGUCCAAUUGAGUUUUUUCCAGAUAUGCCAGUUUCAAUAAAAUGGUGUUUAGCGCCACAUGGGUUUUAAUAGACAAUCUUAUUUCUGAAAUUCUAAAUAGAAAUUGAAAAAAAUCCCUUUUUCCUCAGUCUUUUUAGGUAGUUUAGAAAACAUUAAUUUAUCUCUACCUCUUGUGAAUUAACUACUUGAUCUUCCCACCAAAGCAACUGCAGCACUAGCAAAUUUGGCAGUGCUGCAGAUCCAGUGAGGAUUUGGGUUUCAGGAAAAUCGCUACAGGGGGCUGGGGUGCUCGGGCUGGCAGGACUCGGCACACAGCACUAGGACGAAUGCAUUUUCCCAAAACACAAAACCUUUACCUGGGAAAGGUAAAACACCCAAAGAAAACAAAAAUCAGAUUUCGAAGACGUUUCAUCCAGGACUUCCCCUGACUUUACUGUUCAUCCUGCAUUUUUUGUUUACUUUUUUUUAGAUCUUCCAUUGAUUUUAACGGAAUGAAGUUUAUAGCAUAUAAACUUAUCUACCUAUGGGUUGCAGCAAUGUCCCGAUUAAUGUAAUUACAUGCUUUUGAGAGCUAUAUGUGAUUGGGGCGUGUGAAGAGGGCUCAGGCGGAAUGACAGAGGUGCCUGGAGUCUUGAAUCUUGCAAUUCAGCGAACGCAUGCUAAAUAUAGCAAUGGAGGAAAAUCAGACUGAUUCAUAGAUCGGUCCUGUGCGUGUUGGUUUUAAACAUUUGUGUCAGUGCUUUCCAGGCGGUCCUUUGGGAGCAGGGCUGUGGAAGGGGCACAGUAGCAGCAGGCGCGAGUCAAAGCCUGCAGCCAUCAGGUUUUAGCGGGUCCUUUUUGCUGGUGUUACCUCCCAUGCACGGUUGGCUGCUUCCCCUCCCAGGGACGCGGUCCGGUGCUCGCCAAAGGAGAUGAGUUUCUUCAUGCAAGCACAUGCUGGAAGUGGGAGGAGGGUUUUGCUGAGCCGACAAGACGCGUAUGCGCAGAUAAUUUCUGUUCUUGUAUCUAACUCCUUCCUGCAAAAUAACAGUGGUGAGUGGUGGUAACAGAGGAAGACAAAAAAUAGAAACCAACCUAAUGGAAACAGCGAGGGUGAUAGAUAAACUCAAUUUUGUUCUAGAAUGGUUAUUAUCAAGUUACUGUCACAGGAUAGUUUUGCCUUGUGAAAAUGCUUUUCAUGUCAGCUCUCUUUUUGUCUGGUUGUCUUUCCGAUCAAGAAGAUUCUGGAGCUUGCAAUGCGCAGAUUGUUACAUUUAUGGAAUUGAGAACAGGGAUAUAAAUGGAGGUAAAAUAAUAAAAAAGUUGAGAAGGGGAAUGAGCAAAGACCUGCUUGCGAGCCUUCACCUUGAAGGCUUGGGCACGCACGUCAGAGGAGUGAAAGGAAUCCCAUGGAGAAGGCAGGCGUGGCAAGGGGCUCCCUUGAACCCCUGGAUAUUCAGCACAUGAAUCCCUGAAAAGGCCAGGAUUUCUGCAGGAGAAUACUUUCUUCAGUUACUUUUCGCAGCAAGUAAAGGAGUUGAAGAACAUGGAAGUGCUUGGUAGAAGACACAUGGCUAUGGUGCCAGGGUUGGGUUGGCCUGUGCUCACUUACUAUGUGCGGACAUUAAAUAUUCAGUUUAAAUACACUGAAAAGAGAUGUAAAAGCUUUCCAGAUUUCCCAACUUUCAAAAAUUCCCAUCUCUCCUUAAGGAUGUUCUAAAGCACACUUUUAAUGAAUAGCCCUGAGUGAUUUUUUGUCACGUCAAGAUUCUCAUAGAAAAAUGAAUUAGUAGAAACUUUGGACAAACUUUUCAGUAAUUUAUACUUUUUACAUUUAACGUUUAAUGUAAAUUUGAUGUUGAACAGCGGUUCUAUCCCAUACUGCCUGUAUGCUUUUCAGUUGCAUCUUGCUUCCUGUUGUUGUAGCAUAGCUACUGGACACCAAACCGUGGAGCUACCAGAUGCUGUGUAACCUGUUUAGGAGGGGUGCGCUGAUUCCCGUGGUUUCACAAGUUCCUCAAAAAGACGUUUGGAGAGGCUUUCCGUCACUGACACGAACGGAGGCAGGCUGCCCAAGGUCUUUCUCAGGGCUAGAGAAAUGAUGCAGAGAUUUUCCCAUGCAGCAAUUCACGGUGGGGGCAGAGAUUGAGAGUUUCCUGGGAAGAAGCUGCCAGCCUGGCUCCGGAGCUUGGGCCCACUGCAAGCGGCAGGUGAGGCGCGAACCCUCGCUCCCAGCGGUGCCGUGCGGUGGCACAUCCGCGUCCCUCGGAACGUGCCCAGGCGCGGAGGAGGACUGUGGGAGGAAACACCUGCUCGUCCCUUCGAGCUGUGUUUCAUGCCAAGCCACGGGGAGCUGUCAGUGGCUUUGCAAUGCAUUCGGUCAAUGCUGCGUACUCACAAAUAUUGCUGCUGUCUGUGCUGGGUUUAAUUUGGGGGGGAUUGAAAGAAAGUACCUUGGGAAGGAUUGUACGAGGAGAAGACAUAUAAACCUUUCUUCCUGACUCAACUUUGUUAUUUUCGCAAAUGUGGAACACAUUUGGUCUGGCAUCCCAUUUGAUUUGUUUACUGCUUUUGUGUCCCACAUUUGGAGAGGCUUUCCAAAGACAGAUAUUUCUCUCAUCUGGCCUGGCUCUGUCUUCUGCACAGAAACCCCAGUAUGGGUGGGUGGAGUACACGUCCAGGGUGUUUGGGUGGGCCGUGAAGGGGAACACAGUGAACUUUUGGAAUAACCUGGGCUGUAGUUUCAGGCUUGCCAGUGGUUCAAGUGUAGAAAUUACGGGAUUUGUUUGGGAAAUGAUGUUAGACAAUAUCAGCUAUCGGCCCUUACCUUGGUUGCAUGCAGCUCGCUCUUUACGUGAUCUGCCCCUGGAUGUGGAUUAUUACAGCGCUGUUAUGAAUUAUUCUGUCUGUGUGCUUUGGAGAGUAUGCAAUAUGGCUCAUUUUCAAACAUCACUUCUGUUAUAAAAAUUAGUGGCUCCUACAGUGACCUGAAACUAGUCAGGUAGGAUUUAAAAGAGCAAAGAAUUUCACAAAUGGCUGAUUUGUUACUUCACUGUGGCAUGUGUAAAUAGUUCUGUGUUUCAGAAAAAUAUUCCCCCCUUGCAUUCUAGAUAAGACUAUUACUAGUUUUUCAUGCAACUAUAAUUCCCAGUUUAGGUGGGAUGUAUUUCAGUCAAAUCAACCUGAAAGGAGGAACAAACCCAUCCUCUCAGCCCAGCCUUUUUCCAGCCAGAGCCCCCUCCCUGGAGUCUUCCUUCUAACCUCCAUCUCAGCUGACCUUGUCCUUUUCAAAUACGCUGAGGAAUUAAGCAAGUACUAGCUUCACUGCCCUUGCCACCUGGUAUAUCUGCCAAAAGGGUUGGGAGAUCUAAAAAGGGUAAUUUUUUUCUGCAUAUACUCUGAGGCUCAGUGUAUAGACCCUGUCAUACCGUAGUCUUUCAGAAAUGCAUUGACUUCACUUGAACACCUCUGUAAUGGCCCAGAAGAAGACACUUUUCCCCAGAAGCCGGUGCCUAGCAUGCAUCAUUCUUGGCAGUAUCUGCAAAUAAACUUAUUGUAAUUGAUUUAAUAAUUUUCAAAUAAAAAAAUUAUGAUAGCUGCGGACAGCUAUAAAUAACAGAAAUGAAACACAUUAUUUGUACUGCGCCUUCACAUGCACUUGUUUAGCUCUUUUUGCUGUUAAGUUAAAACAUCUGUUUCUAUGGAAGUGGAGCAUUCCAUGCAACAAACACAGCACUGGAAGUGACCCACAUAUUAAAUGACAACAUUUGACAAAUUCUAGCAGUUGAUUACUGGGGAGGAGUAGACUGUGGUUAUAAUCAGAGUAAACCAAAACAAUGUGUACCUUUAUAAACCUAGAGUUUAAAUGAAACAUCUGUACUAAAUCAUGUUUGUAGAACAGCACUGUAGCCAACUACCAGACCAUAUGAUAAUGGGGUGUUUUUAACAAUCCCUAUUUCCAUUGCCAUCUUCCAAAUCAGAUCCAGACAGUGCCCACUGGCAUGAAUUCUGCUGGAAACCAAUUGUGAUAGUGUCAGGCUGCAGUGGAUGCUGUCAGUUUAGAUACAGAUACUCGUAAAAAGCUAGUGAUUCCGAUACCUCAUGGAGAUUAUAAGCACAGGUAGAAACUCAGGUGGAUAUUAGGGUGCUUCAUAGGCUACAGUCUUUUCCAGGCAUAUUUUAACUGAGGCUUACACCCUGGAAAAGGUGGAUAUACUGCAGUGACUGUGGAAUCUUAUUCUUAAGGAAACGUGAGUGUAUAGCAAGAAAAUGGGUAUUAGAAUUGCAACAGCAGGUCAGCUGGUGAUAAACCGAGAGUGCUCAGACUGGCACCAAACCCAGGUUUGGCAGCUCACUUAAUGCUUUGAGUCUGUGAAACUGGUAUACAAAAGUCAAGUAAGUACAAUUUUCUUUGAGUGCUUCCUGUUGCUGUUAAGUGGAUACAAAGCAAAAGAAAACUAGUUUAGUCCAUCUCUUUAUGUAGAUUCUUAAACUGAUAUUCACUAGUAGCAUGUGAACAUACAAAUUUUCCUAUUACUGCAGAAUUUCCCCUGAAUUAAUUUAAAAAACCAAACAAAUGCCCAAACUUUUUAUUAGCUUUACAUAGUCACUACAAUCUUCCAAAAAAUGAAAA